rnacentral:rRNA from 1 species
UGCUUAACACAUGCAAGUCGAACGGAAAGGCCAGUGCUUGCACUGGUACUCGAGUGGCGAACGGGUGAGUAACACGUGGGUGAUCUGCCUUGCACUCUGGGAUAAGCUUGGGAAACUGGGUCUAAUACCGGAUAUGAACUGCCUUUAGUGUGGUGGUUGGAAAGUUUUUUCGGUGCAAGAUGAGCUCGCGGCCUAUCAGCUUGUUGGUGGGGUAAUGGCCUACCAAGGCGUCGACGGGUAGCCGGCCUGAGAGGGUGUACGGCCACAUUGGGACUGAGAUACGGCCCAGACUCCUACGGGAGGCAGCAGUGGGGAAUAUUGCACAAUGGGCGGAAGCCUGAUGCAGCGACGCCGCGUGGGGGAUGACGGCCUUCGGGUUGUAAACUCCUUUCGACAGGGACGAAGCGCAAGUGACGGUACCUGUAUAAGAAGCACCGGCUAACUACGUGCCAGCAGCCGCGGUAAUACGUAGGGUGCGAGCGUUGUCCGGAAUUACUGGGCGUAAAGAGCUCGUAGGUGGUUUGUCGCGUCGUCUGUGAAAUUCCGGGGCUUAACUUCGGGCGUGCAGGCGAUACGGGCAUAACUUGAGUGCUGUAGGGGAGACUGGAAUUCCUGGUGUAGCGGUGAAAUGCGCAGAUAUCAGGAGGAACACCGAUGGCGAAGGCAGGUCUCUGGGCAGUUACUGACGCUGAGGAGCGAAAGCAUGGGUAGCAAACAGGAUUAGAUACCCU